GAUUUUUCUGCAUUGAUAUUGUCUCAGUUGCUGAUUAUGUCUUGAGUUUCCUAUGUUCUCUUUACAUAUUAUUCAUUGGUUCAGGAUACUGUUUUCCACCAUUCCCGGUUUAAUGAUGAGUUUAGAUCUGAAGAAGAAUCUGAUGAAAAAGAUGAUGAUGGAAGCCUUCAAAACCUCGUGAUUGGGAAGCCCUAUUUGGUGAAGGGAACAAUGAUGAUACCUUUGUGCUAGGCAUUAAGCAUACAAGGAAGAGCAUUAGGCUGUAUAAUGAUUUCAUUACCUCGGACAUGAUUAUUGCUUCCCCUCUCGGGUUACAGUUGGCCUUGGGAAAAGAAGAAGACAAGAAGAGACUGAGCAAAGAAAAAGACAACAAGCCCUGAUUCUCAUCAACUCUUGUGCUCGCACUCUUUAUGUUUAUGUCCGUGAGCAGCAAGUUAUUACCUUUCAUGUCAACUGCUGAAUUGAUGAAAAAAGUUAUAAACAAGUACGCGCAAGACUUGUCACUGCCUCACCAUGCCAACAAGCAGUGCAGGUCCGUGUGCCAUUGGUUCUGACCUGUGGUCUUGUUUUCUUCUUGUUGUCUUGUUUUCUUGUAUCACGGACCUAGAGAUUGGUUUGUACAUGUAUAUUGUAUUGUUGUGGUCACGUUGAAAGUGUUUCACGGACAAGAAAUGAAAGGCCUUUGUAAUGAUUGUAUGAUUGUGUAUUCACAAACUUGUAUAAAUAAUAUCUUGUAAUUGUAAUGAAAGUGUAUUCACAAGCCUUUGUUCUUCCUU